CUUGAACCAAACUGAGCUGGACGCAGCUAACAUCCACUACCGCAUCUGCCGAUGUUUGCGGGCGUCUGAUUGAUCGACGCCAUGCCAGGAGGCCGGUAUCAUCUUCCUUCUCUCCGAGCGGCCCUGAGGGAGAGGACGCCUGUCUGAGAGGAUGGGGAGGUGUCUGCGGCUCGGGGGCUUCACCACACGUCACUGUGCUGUGGUGCUGCAAAUCCAGCGGGGGCUAUGAGGGAGAUUUAAUGGAGCCUGAAGACUCACACAAGGAGGCUACGCCCUUACCCUGCACCCAGGGACUCUCAACGCCCUGGAGGUUUCCAGCCUCUCCUCUUUAUAUUAAAGAUAAACCAAAC
ensembl:lncRNA